AGUAAAUUACAUUGGUGAAUCAUUUUCAAUGCUAUAUUAUAUUAGAUUGUUAUUGAGAAAUUAUAUUAUAAGCUAAGAGCAUGUACAAUGGGAAAGACACAUAAAGGUCUCUUAACUAAUUUUUUAUUAUUAAGAUGGGUUUGAAGACCCAAUUAAAAAAUUUGCAUUUUUAUGAGGUCCAACGGAGAAAUCUAAUUAGAUUUCUAGAAAUCGGCGGCGAAGUACAUCCUCUGCGACGCCUUGUUACUGCAAGCUAUGGAUCAAACAUUUCCCUUCACAAAAAGCGCUUCUCCCUCUCUCCUCUUUCUCCGACGCUUCGUCUCCGCCGAAACCAUCCACUUCAGCUCCGAAAUUUCACUUCGAUGCCGACGCAAUUCGAAGAGUCUCCGAUAAACAGAUCUCACUCCGAGUCUCUGUCUAUUCCGGCCGUACUGGCGACACUUGCAGCGUCGCAUCCGGUAAGCUUCUAGGCAGAGUCGAAGUAACAGUGGAUCUCGCGGCUGUGCUUUCUAGAAUCGUCGCGUUCCAUAGCUGUUACAAGAAACUCGGCGGAGAAGGAGACAACUGAUUCACGACUUGUCUAGAUUUAUUUUAAACCCAUUAUAAAUGUUUUCUCCUCUGAUUUUUGUUUUGUCCAAUAACAUUAAGCCACGUGUAAUUUAGAGACGUCUCUUGCAUCUCCUAAAUAAGAGACUUUUUAGCAAAUUAUUUCCUUUCUGAUUUAGUUAAAUGCAAAAAAAAUCUAAGAGACCCUGCUAAAUACCCGGUUGCACAUGCUCUAACUAUCUGUUCAUGAUCGUGAAAAGUGAAAUCCAAUUUCGAACGUAUCGAUUUAAUUAAAGAUUACGUGUGGCAAAUCUCCAUAUCAUAUCUAGUGGUUGUUAUUACACUAAAAUAGGGACAAACCUGUAUGUUGGAGGCUUGGAGCUAAGCUAUAUUGCCGACGUCAAUAAAAAAAAAAGAUGAAGCUAGCUUGUGUUGUG
rnacentral:lncRNA from 1 species